ACGCCCACCUGAGGAGGCCACACUACUCUGUUAAGGCAACACACCUGUGAUGCUAUUUUCUUGAGUCAUGACAUUACUUUUGUAGUAAAUAGUUAGUCCUGUAAACAUGAGUAGAAUAUAACUUGCUGCUGUGUGGAUUCCAGAAAUACACAGCAAAGCAGAAAGACUUCUCAGGCUCCUACCUCUCAUCGCCGUAUUCCUUCCAUGGACUGCAGUGAGCAAGAACGAGGGAAAGAAUUGGACAAGCAAAUGUUCAGACUUCAGGACAUGUUGAAGUGGGAACAGGCCAAAAAUUCCCGUCUGCAGCUGAGGUGUAAGCAGCAGGAAGCGGAGCUGAAGCGCAGAGAGCAGCAAAGCAACCGAAUGAAAGAACGACUGACUCAGCUAAAUGACAGAGAGAAGGACAAAGAACAGCACAUCCAGCUGUUGAACUUUCUACCUGGCGGUCGAGGCAGGAAGGAGCAGCCGAUCAAAGCAAUUAAACAAGAGGAAGCGAUGCUGCUUCUGAUGCUGGAGCGCAGAGAAGCAGAACUACGAGAGGCCAUGAAGCUGCGACACAGCACCACCACCUUGCUGCACGCCAUCCGACUAGACAUGGAGCAAACCUUGUCAAACGUUCAGAAUGCUGAGUAUGAAUUCCUAAAUGAAGACAAAAGGUUAAUUCAAGCCGAGUCAGCACUUGGUGACCAUGUGACGGGAGGUGUGCUUCAAAGUUGGAAACAAGUGCAGAGUAAACUGAGGGAUCUUCUGACUGAAGGAGGACCCAGGUUUGAACCUUGUUUUGGUGUAAUGGAAGCAGAGACUGAACCAGGAGGUCUACAUCUUAACUGCAUUUUUCCUGAUGUCAUUUUUGAUCCAUCUUAUAUACCCUGGCUGUGUGCAGGACACACUGGUGUUAGCACUGAUCAGGACAAACUGCUGACUCAGCUGCAUGCAGAACUCAAAGAAAGUCAACAGAUUGUCAAACUACAACAACAAAUUCUGCAGGACAGUCUUCCAUCGUUGGGCCCAUCAGAGCUGACUGAUUCUUACUACUUGGAAGAGUGGGAGCGACUUCAAGCGCGUUGGGCGGAGUUUGAACAUCAGAAGCAGACUUUUGAGAGGGAGAGGCAGUCCUUCACUGACGCCGCCAUACGCUUAAGCCUUGAACGUCGGGACUUUGAGCAUCAGAAGGCGUUGAUACUGAAGCAACAAUAUCUAAGUUGCUGCACGCAGGAAGUAAAUAAACUUCUCAAGUCCAGCACAUUUCCACGUCACACUUUCAAGCCCUAUUGGUGGCUCAUCUUACCGGAGGUUUUGUGGAUGAAAGCCUGUCUUGCUGCAUCCCCAUUUCUCCGUAUUCCAAAGAGCCCAGCCCUGUGACUUGUGAUCCUGCCUCAGGCGACAGUCAUGGAAGAGACAGAUUUUUAACACCCACUACUCCUGAGCUCUAUGCUGUCCUCGGUCUGUCCUAUCAGUGCAGUGCCAAAGAUGGAGAAAGAUGAAAGAUGUGACGCAAGGCGAACUUGACCUUUGGACUGCUCGUUUUUAAAACUUUUAAUAAAGCUAAUUAAAACAUUUAA